rnacentral:rRNA from 1 species
ACUCCAUGAAGUCGGAAUCGCUAGUAAUCGUGGAUCAGAAUGCCACGGUGAAUACGUUCCCGGGCCUUGUACACACCGCCCGUCACACCAUGGGAGUGGGUUGCAAAAGAAGUAGGUAGCUUAACCUCCGGGAGGGCGCUUACCACUUUGUGAUUCAUGACUGGGGUGAAGUCGUAACAAGGUAACCGUAGGGGAACCUGCGGUUGGAUCACCUCCUUACCUUAAAGAA